AGCUGAGGAGCAGCCGCCAAUAACCGCGCUUCUUACUUUCAUUGCUUUAGCUAAAUGGAAAAAAAAGCGCGCCACCAUUGGCUGAGCCUGCCGUGUCGGCCGCUAGAGCCCGAUGCGUGCCGUUACUGAUUGUCUCUUCCACAUUGACGAAGUCUCUAGCGUGGACUAUACAGGUGGUCCUCAACAAAAUGGCCGACACUUUUACACCGUUAAUUAUUAUUAUCAUUUUUUCUUUAGACAAAUUUUUAAAGAAAACUUGUGAAUAUCUAGUGCUUUGAGCACUAAAACAGCUGGUGACAGGGACCCCUACAAGUUUGUUGUCCAAGGGCCCCCUCAAACCUUAAUCCGGCCCUGCUGGGGCAGGACGCUCGCCAGUCGCCACUACCGCUUGGAGCAUAGAGCAGAGGAGACCCGUCUGAGUGGGUGGCCCGCUCCCUGCCUCCCCAUUGCCGCCAUCUGAAGCUCCCAGAGGAGAGUUCUUAAUUACAAAGAGAGCACAGAGAGAGUGAGGACACUGCUCGCAUAAGCUUACAAUCUAGAGGGGCCGUGGGUGGACAGACAGGGAUUCCAUCCAUUGUGUAACCAUCCUUACAGUGCAGCGCAGUAUGGAAGGACUUGCACAGAACUCAAAGCUUGCUCCGAAAGACCUUUUCAGGCGACCUCUGCAGA